GUGAAUCAUCAAAUUUUUGAACGCAAAUUGCACUCUCUUCUGAGAGUAGGCCUGUUUGAGGUUCAGCCUAAAAAAAAUCGACAUAGUCGCUGUUUUGCGGUGACAUGCGUCGGAAAUUGGGUCACCUUACACCUGUGGGUUUUAAGUGGCUUAAAAUUUUCUUUACGAUUCUACGAACGAUUCUAAGAUGUACUUACACGUUUAAGGCAUCGAUUUUUAUUAGACGUGGCCGUUGCAUCGGAUCACGCCCAUAAAAAUUUCGUUAACUCA
rnacentral:misc_RNA from 1 species